GAGCUCAAGAGCUGGUUACUCAAAAAAAGAUCCUGCCUUGGACAUGGUUGUUUAAGAAAUCAUCAGUUCAACAGCGCGUUACCAGCUGAAACAUUAAUCACUGCAGGUAUUAUUCUAUAGAGGGCUUUUAACUCAGAAAAUGGGUAAGAAUUAAUAGAUUCGAUUAUGUAUAUUAUUAUAUAUAGAGCUUCAUCAUUUUUCUUCUACUUAUCCAAAUCAGGAUCAGCCUAUCCCAGCUGUCAAAUGCCGAAAGUCACAGUCACAUGUUCUGCAACAGGUGAGGAGUUGAAUUUUACUGGAAGCAACUGAAUGCAACACAAUAUCACCAGCCCUCCAGGUAAGGUAGACGCUCUCAGGCACGUAAUCUGCAGUUUACACUGAAAAACUGACAUCGUGGAUAUACUACUACUCCUAAAGAAAACAAAAAAUCGCUGAACAGGAUCGACUGGAUGCACCUGACGGACCGCGCACAGUGAGAUGACUUCAUAGACAGCAUUUGAAUCAUGGUGAAAAUAAAUCUCAGUGCUGAGUAAAACAUCAGACCUGACGAUACUGAAAAGUGAUUCGUGAAUGAUCAGGAGGAGAUCUGUGCUGCACCCCACACAUCUUCUCUGGGAGUAUAUCAGAUGAAGCCGGUGUCAGUCUGAGAGUUUCCAGCUUAUGCCCAGAGGUGCUGGGAGCAUGACAUCACAAAGUGAUAAGGGAAUAAAGUGUGUGGUGGUGGGUGACGGUGCAGUGGGAAAGACCUGCAUGCUCAUCACAUACGUAACCAAAGAGUAUCCCUCUGAGUACAUCCCCACAGUGUUUGAUAACUACUUUGCUACAGUGACGAAUGGUGAGAAGUACAAUCUGGAACUCUGGGACACUUCAGGUCAGGAGGACUAUGACAGAUUGCGAGCCAACAGCUACCCACAGACGGACGUUUUCCUCGUCUGUUUCUCCGUGGUUUCACCCUCAUCUUUUCAAAAGGUCACAAACAAGUGGUUGCCAGAGAUUGCAUGCCACUGUCCGGGGACCCCCUUCCUGCUGGUCGGGACUAAGGUGGAUCUGAGAGAUGACAGAUACACCCUGGAGAUGCUGGGCAAGGAAAACGAGCAAGUUGUGACCUUCAAGGACGGCGAGGAAGUGGCUCGUCACCUGAAAGCUGUCAAAUAUGUGGAGUGCUCAGCUCUUACACAGAUAGGAGUGCAGGAUGUGUUUGAAGAGGCCGUCCUCGCUGCUCUGGGGAAGUCAAGUUCCAAGCCCAAGAAGUGCUGCUCUCAUCUAUAGAUGUCACAAGAAGUAGAACAAGAGGAAGAGAAUGACCUUAUCCUCCUCCUCUUGGAGAAGUUGGAGGUUUGACCUGGAAGAGAGUAUUAACCUCGAUGUGAACAAAGGAAGGAUGCUAAACACGAGUUAGACCAAAAACAAUAUAAAUAUCUCUUUAUUUAGCAAGCAGAGCUGAAAAUGCUCUAAAAAUAAAAAUACAAAAGUAUUUUGUACAAAUAUAAAUAAUUUAUGCAGAUUUAUUAUUAAUGAGUGCAGGCAAGUCUUUAUAUACAGUAGUUUAGGUUUUUCUGAACUUAUGUUUACGUUGUAAUUUUUAUGCAGUAUUAUUUAGUGUCAUUCACUCGCUCAUUUUUUUAAUGGACACAAACUUCUAUCAACUAAUAUCAUUCUCAGCCUCUACAGCUUUGCAUUGACCUGUUCAUAUGCAGCUUGUGUUUAAGGUACAACCAUGUGAGCAGGAAACCAUCUAUUCCUUAGUAGGUUUUAAAGUUAUUUAAUUACAACCGUAGAUGAACAACAACACAUGACAUAUUAUUUAUUUAACAAAGCUGUCACACGAAGCAGCAGUGUGUGGUUUGGGAUCAUUUGGGCUGUAAAGUGGAUCGGGGGGCGCUGAUGCACUUUACUUUUGCUUCCUUUGGUGCAAAUGAAAGUGACACGAGGUUCACUGGAGAGGGAACAGGAAAAUAGGAAAAGGGGAAAAAAGAGACUGGUUUUGCAGAUAGUAACCAAAAACCAUUGCUCUGUCCUUACAUCUGAUCUUUUUCUCCAGUUCAACUUUUAGUUUAUGUCCUUGUCACUGCUGGUAGCAUGAGAUGGUGCUUCCAACACAUUCAGGUUGGAGAGGUAGAUCAGCUUUUCCAGAAUGGCAUAUCGAUGCAAGCUGACCUCUAGGUGCUCUCUAUGCCCUUUGGUGUUUCUGAAACGCUUCACAAGCAGAGACUAAUGAGGUGGGUUUUGCUUGCUCAAGAAUACAAUUUGGACAUUUACGAGUAAAGGUGUGUCUUUACAAUGGUAACUAGUGAUCCACAGUGGAAGCAGGUGCAGGAAGCAAGUGGGUUGUAACAAUAAGGACGCCUGAUCAGGACGCUGGAGUGUAGCGAGUAUAACAGGAGGAACACUGACAGAGGCCUAAGGAAUGGCCUCCGGGGUGCUCAUUUGCAUGUUUCUGGCCGCACACUAUGAGAAACAGACUCCAUCUGCUGGAAUAAGGGUCUGACAUCUUUAGUGGGACCUGUGCUCACAGUCCCACGUCAUGCAUCACCAGAGUCUAUCAGGUUCAUACAGAUGGAUGUGAAAGAGUCUUGAGAUGCAGUGUAGGCAUUUUUCUGACUGCAGCAUCAUCCAGCAUGAUGGUUUGGCAGUGGUCAGUGAUGGUCUGGGAGGCAUAUCCUUGGAGGAUCAUACAGAUGACCUCCUCAGAACCAUUGUUGAUACGGGCAUUGAUACCAAUGACUGUCUCUGACAUUUUCCAGAGCUGAAUCCAACUAAGAACUUCUGGGACACAUUUUUUUACUCGCAUGCCUGCAAAGUCUCCACCAAGCCUCUCUCAUCUUCUCUGAAUUGCUGCCACCUGUCCACAUGCCCUGUCUUUUGAUUAUACCUCUUUUAAUAAAGCAUCUAAACUAUU